UCACAGCCCACUCGCUCACUCGCUCGCCUCUCUUCUCCCCGUCGCUCCCCUCUUCUCCCCGUCGCUCUCCCCGACUCCCGCCGGCAUCUCCCUGACUCCCCGUCGCCGGCCUCUCUAGCAUAUCUCCUCGUCGCCGCCACCUUUCUCCGCGUCCACAGCCGACAUCCAUUCACGUCCGGCGUCCACUCACAGCCGGCGUCCAUUCACGCCCCACAUCCAAGGUCAAAGAAUGAAUUUUUUGCGCCGGCGACGAGCUUCUGGGCGACAGAGGCGAUGGAUUUGCGUGCGCCGGCGCUCGAUCUAGGCGAGGGAGGCGCUGGAUCUGCGCUCGUCGGCACUGGAUGCAUAGUGGAGGCCGAGCGGCGUAUCUGGAGAGGCGCGGGAGCAACUGGCGGAUCUGGAGCGGCUUGGUCAUCCUCACGGAUCUGUGUGCCGGACUCCACUACGGCUCUGAAGCCUUCACAAAGUUACUAAAAUCGUGUGAUUGUUGCUGUGCAAGCAAAGAUGAAGCUGAUGGAUCACCCCAGGCCCAGAGCAACUUGCUGAUGGAUUCUGGAGUAUGUGUGUGAAUUGCUGAAUGGAGUAGAAUGGUGGAGUGCAGUUGAGGUCUGGGACAACCAUCUUCUGCUGCUUUCAGUUCAUUCCUCUCUUUGCUACGUGGUCAUUGUUUCAGGACAGAUCGAGUUCGUUUCCAGCGACAGCAGAGAGAUGUACUCCAGCAGAGGAUCAAAUGAU